rnacentral:rRNA from 1 species
AUUGAACGCUGGCGGCAGGCCUAACACAUGCAAGUCGAACGAGUGGCGGACGGGUGAGUAAUGUCUGGGAAACUGCCUGCUGGAGGGGGAUAACUACUGGAAACGGUAGCUAAUACCGCAUACCAUCGGAUGUGCCCAGAUGGGAUUAGCUAGUGGGUGGGGUAACGGCUCACCUAGGCGACGAUCCCUAGCUGGUCUGAGGGGAGGACCGGCCGAACUGGAACUGUGACACGGUCCAGACUCCUAGGGGAGGAGGCAGUGGGGAAUAUUGCACAAUGUGCGAAGGCCUGAUGCAGCCAUGCCGCGUGUAUGUAGAAGGCCUUCGGGUUGUAAAGUACUUUCAGCGGGGAGGCGUUACCCGCAGAAGAAGCACCGGCUAACUCCGUGCCAGCAGCCGCGGUAAUAC